UACUUAAACAACCAGGAGGUUGGCUUAGAAGCAGCCAUCCUUUAAAGAAAGCGUAAUAGCUCACUGGUCUAGUGAUUUUGCGCGGAAAAUAUAACGGGGCUAAAGUAAGUACCGAAGCUGUAGACUUGCGCACAACUUAGAUUAUUUAAGUUUAGAAUAUGAGAAACUAAGUUAUAUGUUUAGUUAUAUUUUUACUGAUUUUUAUAGAGUAAAGAUAGAAAUAAAACUUAGUAAAAUCAGUAAAAAUAUUCUUAGACUAAAGUUAAGUAGUUUAAGUUGUGUGCAAGUGGUAGGAGAGCGUUCUAUUUGCGUCGAAGGUAUACCGGUAAGGAGUGCUGGAGCGAAUAGAAGUGAGCAUGCAGGCAUGAGUAGCGAUAAUUAAUGUGAGAAUCAUUAACGCCGUAAACCCAA
rnacentral:rRNA from 1 species